CUAGUACGGGAGGCAGCAGUGGGGAAUAUUGCACAAUGGGCGCAAGCCUGAUGCAGCGACGCCGCGUGAAGGAAGAAGGCCUAACGGUUGUAAACUUCUUUUCUGAAGGAGCAUAAUGAGAGUACUUUAGGAAUAAGGGACGGCUAAAUACGUGCCAGCAGCCGCGGUAAUCAG
rnacentral:rRNA from 1 species